UCCUACGGGAGGCAGCAGGNGGGAAUCUUGCACAAUGGAGGAAACUCUGAUGCAGCGAUGCCGCGUGAGUGAAGAAGGCCCUUGGGUUGUAAAGCUCUUUCGUCGGGGAAGAAAAUGACUGUACCCGAAUAAGAAGGUCCGGNUAACUUCGAGGCAGCAGCCGCGGUAAU
rnacentral:rRNA from 1 species